rnacentral:misc_RNA from 1 species
AACGCACAUUGCGCCCUUUGGUAUUCCGAAGGGCAUGCCUGUUCGAGCGUCAUUAUCACCCCUCAGGCCUCGUGCUUGGUGUUGGACGGCCGGUCGAGCGAUCGACCCCUCCGAAAGACAAUGACGGCGGCCUGUGGUUCCCCCGGUACACUGAGCUUUUCACCGAGCACGUACCGGACCAGGGCACCCGGGACCCGGUCCUCUCCUUUCACUAGGAAACUUCUCAAGGUUGACCUCGGAUCAGGUAGGAAUACGCGCUGAACUUAA